rnacentral:rRNA from 1 species
AACGAACGCUGGCGGCAGGCCUAACACAUGCAAGUCGAACGGCAGCACCGUGAGUGCUUGCGCUUACGGGUGGAGAGUGGGGGAAGGGGGACGUAGGUACCGGAAUCUACUCUUUCGGGGGGGAUAACGUAGGGAAACGUACGCUAAUAAAGGAUAUGACGUACGGGGGAAGGCAGGGGAUCGUUUGGCCUGGUGGGAGUGAAUGAGCCGAUGACGGAUGGGAUAGUUGGCGGGGUAAAGGCCUACCAAGGCGACGAUCCGCAGCUGGUCUCAGAGGAUGAUCGGCCACAUUGGAACUGAGACACGGUCCAGACUCCUACGGUAGGCAGCAGUGGAGAAUAUUGGGCAAUGGGCGCAAGCCUGAUCCAGCCAUACCGCGUGGGUGAAGAAGGCGCUCGGGUGGGAAAGCCCUUUUGUUGGUAGAGAAAAGCAGCAGGUUAAUACGCCGCGGUACUGACGGUACCCGGAGAAUAAGCACCGGCUAACUUCGUG